CGCACGGGUGAGUAACACGUAUCCAACCUGCCGUCUACUCUUGGACAGCCUUCUGAAAGGAAGAUUAAUACAAGAUGGCAUCAUGAGUUCACAUGUUCACAUGAUUAAAGGUAUUCCGGUAGACGAUGGGGAUGCGUUCCAUUAGAUAGUAGGCGGGGUAACGGCCCACCUAGUCUUCGAUGGAUAGGGGUUCUGAGAGGAAGGCCCCCACAUUGGAACUGAGACACGGUCCAA
rnacentral:rRNA from 1 species